rnacentral:rRNA from 1 species
GAUGAACGCUGGCGGCGUGCUUAACACACGCAAGUCGAACGGGCGGAGGGAGCUUGCUCCCGAAGCUAGUGGCGGACGGGCGAGUAACGCGUGAGUAACCUGCCCAUAAGUGAGGGAUAGCCCAUGGAAACGUGGAGUAAUACCUCAUAUUGUAUACUGAUCACAUGAUCUAUAUAUGAAAGAUUUAUCGCUUAUGGAUGGACUCGCGUCUGAUUAGCUAGUUGGUGAGGUAACGGGCCCACCAAGGCGACGAUCAGUAGCCGGCCUGAGAGGGUGAACGGCCACAUUGGGACUGAGACACGGCCCAAACUCCUACGGGAGGCAGCAGUGGGGAAUAUUGCACAAUGGGGGAAACCCUGAUGCAGCGACGCCGCGUGAGUGAAGAAGUAUUUCGGUAUGUAAAGCUCUAUCAGCAGGGAAGAUAAUGACGGUACCUGACUAAGAAGCCCCGGCUAACUACGUG